GCCUUCGUAGUGUAGUGGUCAGCACGCUCGGCGCGUAGUCAUAGGUCCGUGGUUCGAAUCUCGGCGAAGGCA
rnacentral:tRNA from 1 species